UACGUAGGGAGCAAGCGUUAUCCGGAUUUAUUGGGUGUAAAGGGUGCGUAGACGGGAUUACGAGUUGGUUGUGAAACCCCUCAGCUCAACUGAGGAACUGCAACCAAAACUAUAAUUCUUGAGUGCAGGAGAGGAAAGUGGAAUUCCUAGUGUAGCGGUGAAAUGCGUAGAUAUUAGGAAGAACACCGGUGGCGAAGGCGACUUUCUGGACUGUAACUGACGUUGAGGCACGAAAGUGUGGGGAGCAAACAGG
rnacentral:rRNA from 1 species